AGGCCGAAAGGCGUAGUCGAUGGGAAACAGGUUAAUAUUCCUGUACUUGGUGUUACUGCGAAGGGGGGACGGAGAAGGCUAUGUUAGCCGGGCGACGGUUGUCCCGGUUUACGCAUGUAGGCUGAUUAUCCAGGCAAAUCCGGAUAAUCAAGGCUGAGGUGUGAUGACGAGGCACUACGGUGCUGAAGUAACAAAUGCCCUGCUUCCAGGAAAAGCCUCUAAGCAUCAGGUAACAUCAAAUCGUACCCCAAA
rnacentral:rRNA from 1 species